rnacentral:rRNA from 1 species
GUAGGGAAUAUUGGGCAAUGGUCGGAAGACUGACCCAGCCAUGCAGCGUGCAGGAAGACGGCCCUCUGGGUUGUAAACUGCUUUUAUCUGGGAAGAAAAAGGCCAUGCGUGGCAAAUUGCCGGUACCAGAUGAAUAAGCACCGGCUAACUCCGUGCCAGCAGCCGCGGUAAUACGGAGGGUGCGAGCGUUGUCCGGAUUUAUUGGGUUUAAAGGGUGCGUAGGCGGCUGAUUAAGUCAGCGGUGAAAGACUUCGGCUUAACCGGAGCAGUGCCGUUGAUACUGGUUGGCUUGAGUGUCGGAGGGGUACAUGGAAUUGAUGGUGUAGCGGUGAAAUGCAUAGAUACCAUCAGGAACACCGAUAGCGAAGGCAUUGUACUGGCCGACAACUGACGCUGAUGCACGAAAGUGUGGGGAUCGAACAGGAUUAGAUACCCCGGUAGUCC